CAGGUUCCCCAAGAACCUGGUGCGUGGGGGCGUGAGGGAAGCCAUGCAUUCCGGCUGCUCCCCGUGUCCCAGGAUGAAGGGCGGUCUGCAGUGGCCGUGGUCUUGGUGCUUGAUGUUUUCUUACUUCGGUAUAUAUUCGAGUUGGCAAAAACUGUGUUAUUCACGCACAACUUGUCCUUCUCGUUCUGUAGAUGUGUACGGUAAUCAGAAACACAGACUUUUCUGUUCUUCUUGCACAUAUCUGUUGUUUUUGCGUUAUUUUGCAGUUCUUGGUUUAAGACAUCUGUUGCAUGAAAAGAAUUUGUCUGGUCUUUGUUCCCAGUUCCUGGCAGGAAGCCUCUAACCCCCUUGGAAUUUCCUAAGUGAUGGAAGAGUUUUUGUUAUUCACGAGCCCCCUGGAUCCCACCUGAGUUUAUGCUAAGGAGGUCCCUCUCAGGCAUGCCCUAGAUGGCUUCAGGAUGGAGGUGGUCACCAGAGACCAGCCACCCACUUAGAGAGUUGGCACUCGGAGCCAUCCUGACAUCUGGGGCGGGCAGUGAGGCUGGAGAUUAAGUUCAGUCGCAUGGUCAGCACUUUCAUUGAUCAGGCCUAGAGGGGAAACCCUGGGCACAGAGCUUAGUGGGGCUUCUGAGCUGGAGGCCACAGUGAUGUGCUGAGAGGGUGAUGCAGCCCAAUUUGAUAGUCAGAAGGUCCAGAAGCUCUGCCCUCUGGUGCCUCCUAGAUCUGGCUCUCUGCGUCUCUUCGUGUGGCGGGUCCUCUUCUCCUGAAUUUCCCUGAGGUUUGUGAGUCCCUCUAGUGAAUUAUCGAACCUGCGAGGGUCAUGGGAACCCCCACAUUUGUUGCUAGUCGAUUGGAUGUACGAGCGGCCUGGGACCCUAAACGUGUGGCUGGCAUCUGAAGCGGGGUCAGUCUUGUGGAGGACUAAGCCCUUGAUUUGUGGGGUGGCUAGUAGAAAUUAACUGCAAUGUGCCAGUUGGGGUGGAAACAAAAUCAUGAAAACCAUGUUGGUAAGAGUUGAGUCAUGUUCCGUGAAAAUUCCUUGGUGUGAACCCAAACAAAGUAAGAUCAGCUCUGCUUCAAAAAAGCCUUCAUCAGAUAAGAGGGUCUGCCAACAAUCUGAUGUUCAAAGCAUCCGUCUGUGGACGUGCUGUGCUUUGCCGUGGGGUUCAGGAAAUUGCAGUAGUGGCAGGCAAGAGUGCUGGAACCUUCCACUUACAUUUCUGUUUUUUUAACCUUAAAUGUCCUUCCCUCUCCUGCAGAUACACAGCCUGCCACGCUGCUGCACAAGAGGAAGUCCAGUCACAGUGGGAGACCACUGUCCCUGCCUUUUGCCGGGGAGGGGGGGGGAACGGGGGACUCAGAGACCCCACAGUCCUGCCUGGACUCCCCCUAUCUGUAAACUUGAGGACAUGUGACUUCUCUCUUCCUCAUUUCUGUUCAGACACUACAGUUUGUCACUUGUCAUCACUAUUGGCUUUUUAAAAAUCUCCUUUCGGUCAAGUUUGAGGGUGUCUGACUUUCCACUGCCUCUUAGGACAUUGUGCUUCUUUCUCAUUCUCCUUGCACUUCGUCAGCCUGCUUUUUGUUGCAGCUCUGCUUAUUUUAUAGCCCUCGUGCACCGGCCUGACCUUCAGAUGCCCUUACUUCCCACACUGCAAGGGCACCAUGCCACUGCCAGGCAUGUAACCAUUCUCUUUCUUAGCUUACUUCCCUAGCAAGUCCCCCCUCACCCCCGGCUUUUUUGUUUUGUUUUGUUUUUGAGAUGUCAAAAGCAAACUUCUGAGAAAUGUCAGUCCAAUCAGCCAACUUAAUUUGCUUUUUCCCUCAGGGUCCUUAACCCAAUGUCCUUUCUUUUAUUCUUAUUGUAUUACGUAAGGAGAGAAAAUUCAGUUAGCUCUAUUUCUUUAACCUAAUACCUGGCUCAUCAGUUAAUAUUAUUGAAUUUCUGCUUUGGAAAUGUUAAAUUGUCAAAUCUCUGUGCCCAGAGACAUGGUCCCGCUCCCCACAAAUACCAGAUACGCUUGGAAGAUCCUUUUUCUUUUUAGAAGCCAAUUCGUUUUUUUUUCCUUUCCGUUCAAGUACCUUUCUCUGGCAAAUAAGUUCACAGCAAAGGGUCAUAUUUCAUAGGAAGGGACUCUGCUCUUUCUUUUUUUUUUUUUUUUUUUANNNNNNNNNNNNNNNNNNNNNNNNNNNNNNNNNNNNNNNNNNNNNNNNNNGUUCUGUGGGUAAGUUGCAGACGCGGCUUGGAUCCCGCGUUGCUGUGGCUCUGGCGUAGGCUGGUGGCUACAGCUCUGAUUCGACCCCUAGCCUGGGUACCUCCAUAUGCUGCAGGAGCGGCCCAAAGAAAUAGCAAAAAAGACAAAAAAAAAAAAAAAAAAAAAAAGAAUCUGACUGCAGCAGGUCAGCUUACUGAGGGGGGAUGGGUGUGAUCACCAGCCUGGCACAGUGGGUUAAAGACCCGGCAUUGCUACAGCUGCAGUGAAGGGUGAAGCUGUGGCUCAGAUUCAGUCCCUGGCCUGGGAAAUCCCAUAUGCCUCAGUUGUGGCCAUAAAAAAAAAAAAAAA
rnacentral:lncRNA from 1 species